AUUGAACGCUGGCGGCAUGCCUUACACAUGCAAGUCGAACGGCAGCGGGGACUUCGGUCCGCCGGCGAGUGGCGAACGGGUGAGUAAUGUAUCGGAACGUACCUUUCAGUGGGGGAUAACGUAGCGAAAGUUACGCUAAUACCGCAUAUUCUCUGAGGAGGAAAGCAGGGGACCUUCGGGCCUUGUGCUGAUGGAUCGGCCGAUAUCAGAUCAGCUAGUUGGUGAGGUAAAGGCUCACCAAGGCGACGAUCUGUAGCGGGUCUGAGAGGAUGAUCCGCCACACUGGGACUGAGACACGGCCCAGACUCCUACGGGAGGCAGCAGUGGGGAAUUUUGGACAAUGGGCGCAAGCCUGAUCCAGCCAUGCCGCGUGAGUGAAGAAGGCCUUCGGGUUGUAAAGCUCUUUCGGACGGGAAGAAAUUGGUGGGGCUAAUAUCCCCAUCGGAUGACGGUACCGUAACAAGAAGCACCGGCUAACUACGUGCCAGCAGCCGCCGUAACAC
rnacentral:rRNA from 1 species